GACGAACGCUGGCGGCAUGCCUAACACAUGCAAGUCGAGCGAGUAGAUCCCUUCGGGGUGAAGCUAGCGGCGGACGGGUGAGUAACACGUGGGCAACCUGCCUCAUAGAGGGGAAUAGCCUUCCGAAAGGAAGAUUAAUACCGCAUAAGAUUGUAGCUUCGCAUGAAGCAGCAAUUAAAGGAGCAAUCCGCUAUGAGAUGGGCCCGCGGCGCAUUAGCUAGUUGGUGAGGUAACGGCUCACCAAGGCGACGAUGCGUAGCCGACCUGAGAGGGUGAUCGGCCACAUUGGGACUGAGACACGGCCCAGACUCCUACGGGAGGCAGCAGUGGGGAAUAUUGCACAAUGGGGGAAACCCUGAUGCAGCAAUGCCGCGUGAGUGAUGACGGCCUUCGGGUUGUAAAGCUCUGUCUUCGGGGACGAUAAUGACGGUACCUGCAGAAGAAGCGCCGGCUAACUACGUGCCAGCAGCCGCGGUAA
rnacentral:rRNA from 1 species